rnacentral:lncRNA from 1 species
CACAUAUAUCAUACUUGACUAAACCCAGAGAUACGGGCUCGGCCCACACUCUAGUACUAGCAUCUCGUCUACACGGGUCGGCCUUGGUGCCUUGGACCCGUUCCUACUGGAAAGGAAACUCACCUCGAAAUAGCUGCUGGUCUGUGUGGGAAUUGAUCACCUACUACUGCUGCUGCUGCUCCGGAAACCCUCCGGCUGCAAUUCCCACAAUAUACUCAAUCAAACACUGCUCACUGACCUUUGGGUAAAAUGACCAUUUUACCCCUGACCUUGCCCUAAGUCAAAGUCAGAGUCAACUUUCAGUUGACCUCGACUCGCCGAGUUGGCUUUCCGACUCGCCGAGUCCCUACGCAAACGACUGCCCUGAAUCCUGGUCCUACUCGUCGAGUUAGGCGACGACUCGACGGGUUCACCUUCUUAACCAAUAUUCAAGUCCUUCAUCCUACUCGCCGAGUUGUAUGAACAACUCGCCGAGUUCAUCUUCAUCCGAUGAACACUUAUGCGAAGACUCGCCGAGUUGUAUGAACAACUCGUCGAGUCUGUUCUUGAUCUAAGGAGAUUGCCUUGAACUCGCCGAGUCAGGGCAUUGACUCGCCGAGUACCUCCAUAGAUGAGUUAAGCUUCCGACUCACUGAGUCACACCCCGUGACUCACUGCUCACUCGACACUACGAAAAGGGGACAAACUCGGAGACUCGCGAACAGACUCGCCGAGUCAUAUGAACGACUCGCCGAGUCGUUGCCAUGCACCCACUGAAUACACGGAUUUGCUCGAUUCCAGUCCAUGCCAUUCAUAGAUCUGGACUUCUAGGACACGAAUCACACGUAAAGUUUCCAACUUUACGUGUGGAUAUUCACCAAUAUGGAUUUUAGGGCUCAAAAUGUCUCAAAAGGGUAGAUCUAGGGCUAACAAGCAACAUGGGGCCAAAAAGCUAACAGAUCUGAGCUCCUGGAGCUCAAUCUUGCCUAGAUCCAAAGGCCAAACGCCUUAUUACGACAUAUAAUGCACAUACAAACUUGGGGAAAUGACCAAGAAGGACCCAAAUGAAGUUUUAAGCAUAGAAUCAAGGGGAAAACGGGUUAUACCUCAAAGGAACUGCUGGAAGGACACAAAUAAUGCUUGGAUGGCUUCCCUUCUUCUGGAUCUACUUCCUUCCUCUUUCAAAG